GUAGCAAAUGUCUGAUAUCGGUGAAUGACCUUGUGUGUUUGCACAAUUAUAACGUUCUAUUUUUACGAAAUCUGGUGAUGACGUAUGAGUAAUAUCGAUACACAAAUUACUAAUGCUAGGUGCAGUAACGUCUAUUUAUACCCUUAUCGUCACUGGAAUAGUAUUUUCUGAAAAUGUGAAAUUGUUAUGAAAUACUUGUGUAUAAAGAGAAAACCAAGAUACAUGGACAUUGUUAUAUUUACUGUACUUAUUUCCCACGGUCAAAAUGAAUCGUCGACAAAAUUAAUUUUUAGACGGUAGAAUUCAAUGGUUUCCCAAUCGUAAUAAGUAUUUCUUGUUACUGAGUACAUGACAAUAGCUAUACAAAUAUGGGGGAAUUGUGCAAUCGCUCGAAAGCAAUGGAAUCCCAAUGCAUUGUAUAAGGCUUCGAAAUCAUACAUCGCAAAUUGUGUGAAGAAGUAAACAAAGAAACCCCUAAUGUUGUAUUUUUCUAAUUUUGCAACAGAAUCAUGCAAUGAUAGCACGUCUCACGCAUUCACGAACUUCAUUGUACUUUUGCUUACUUGCUAUAAAUACAUGACGUCUUUGCGACCUUGUCAUGAAGGUGAAGGCGUUGUUUAUUGAAAAUCUGACCAAUGAAAACAAGCAUUUCUUUUGAACAAUUAUGUUAAUUUCAUACGCCAUUAUUCCUUCUUCGAUCAUUUUUUUCAUACUUUAACGAGCAAUUGUACAGAGCAAAAAUGUCAAACAUUGUAAUAAGCAAUUCAAGUUCAGACGAUGAGAACCCAGGUGCUUAUAGAAAUAGUAACGCCUCUCCAACAGGCAUUACAGAAACACAUAAAUUGGAAUCCUGCGAAUAUAAGAGGUACGUUUACACAACCGAAGAGGGUAUAGAAGUGCACAUUCAUGUAAGAUUUUGCAAAUGUUCCAGUGAAUACGUUGACCGAAGUUACAUGGUGCAAGACAAAAUGGAUUUUACAGCAAUGGACGGGAAGGAAAUCCAUUUUGAUCGUGCAUGUAAAUGGCGAAGAUUUCCAUCACAAUUUUGCGGCCAAACCGUGUAUAUUCUUAAUCAAUACUGCAGUGGAUGUACUACUCAAACAAGAAGCGAUACCGCGCAUGCAAUGAACAUGGUUACACCUUCAAACUGACGUUAUAAACUAGUAUGUUAAAUCAACUUCUACAAAUAUUUCCACCUGAAUACAUUUACAGAACUAUCAUUGUUGCUCAUGAUUCAUUGAACUUAUAAAGAGUGUAUUAUAGUUAUAAAUAAAGUUGUAUUCAGCUUUAUAAUAAUUGACUUGCUUCCUGGGAUAAAGUGUAACCUAAUAAUCAAUACUAAAAGUUUUUAACUUGAGUGUGUGUUGUUUAUAUACCAAAACGUGUCAAGUGUUUUGUUUUUAAAAUUCGCUGUAAAUUUCUUAAAUGUGUUAACAAAUAAAAUAUAUAAGAAAAUAAUAUUAAACGUGUUUCCUUUUUGUUGUUUUUUACAACAAUUCAGCUAAUUUGAAACCCAUCCUUUAUCUUACGAAAGAUAAAAAUGCAAACUAAGUUGACAAUUACUAUGAUAUAGAUACGAUUCAAAACGAGGCUCACGUUUACAGCUUUUUGUAAUCAAUUGCAACAUAUCUCUGUAAUCCCAGUGAGCGUGAGAGUUUGCUAAAAAUAGUAACAAAUAGAAAACCCCUACAGUUCAAAGAAGGUUGGUCUAUAAAAAAGGAUCAACAGCCGUGUUUUCUAACUGAUUCGUUAUUUUCAACGAUUGUUAUCAGUAAUAAUGAAUCAACCAAGAGGUAAUAUUUCAAGUGAAUCUGAUGAAGAUCAGGGCUAUAUUUACAGUUAUGGAGCACAACCAACUGGUCAGACGGAACACCACUCAGACAAACAUUGUAAAUAUGAGCGAUAUCGUGGUAAAAUUAAUGGAAGAGAGGUCAUCGGGCAUAUACGAAUAUGUAAAUGUGGAAACUAUUGCGAUAUGGGAUAUUUAGCACAAAGUACUAUUGAUGCAACUGAAAUGAACGGAAAGGAAAUUCAUUUUUCGACAAGUUGUAAAUGGAAGAGACACACGCAACAAAUUAAUGGGAGGAAAUUCUACACUCUACAUCGUUUAUGUGGUUGUAAAAACCUACAGACCAGCCAAAGUACGAGCGAAACGAACAGGGUUCCGCCAAGCUGGAAUUGAUUUGUUGCUACAAAACAAGGACAGUUCUACUACCUGGACAAGAAAGCAGAUGAAUAAAGAUAGAAGAUAAAAAAUUGUAUUAAUUUUAGUCAGUAGCAAUUGUCAAAUGUAUAUAUCACAAAAAAAUGCUAUUUGUAACUAUUGUCUUAUAAUUUUUCAUUGUCUAUCAGCAUUGCAUUGUCUUAUAGUAUUUUAUUGUCUUAAAAUAUAUUGUGGUAUGAAGAUGAUUGGAAUAAAAAAUAGUGAAGAGUUGAAAUGUUUAUUGUCCUGUUUUAAACAUAUUUUAGUGAUGCUAUUUAAAAAAAUUCGACAAGUAUGAAUUGGAAAAAAAGAAAGGUAAAUAAUUUACAGAAAUAUGAUAAAUAUUUUUGUAACAUUGCGUUAACUUCAAUAAAAGACAUGAAAACGUUGCAAUCGGUAAAAUGUCUGUGCAGGCUUUUUUAAUAUUAUAAAAGCAGAUUUAUCGACGUUGCUGUAUAGUUGCGUAAUUUCAUUGUACAAAAAAUUUAAAGCUUCAUACAGACAUAGAUAUCACAACUUGACCUUCAAACAUGUUUUAUGCCAUGCAGUGUUAACGAAAUAUCAGAUUUAGUAAAGUUAGCUAUUGAUAAUCUAUUUCUGGUUAUUAGCCCUGUUGGUAUCAAUAAAAGAUUUUUGAAUGAGAUCAAUUAAAUAAUGAAGAUGUACAGAAUAAUUUAAAAGUAUUCCCGUUAUGGUGUACUACUUAUUCCUUAAUUGAAAACGUUAACAUGUUACAUACAUUAUAAAAUGAUUAUCCUAUGAUCAGAUAUCGAAACAGGAAAAAUAUUGGAAGAAUAUUUUAAAUUUCAUCAGUACCAUAUUAUAAUUUACUAAAUUCACAAUAGAGUUAUAUUAAUUGGCAUCUUAGCACUAUUAAUGUUUCAACAUUUACAGAACGUCCAUUUUACUAAUCACUUGGAUUUUCUUUAUCUAAAAAUUCAAAUACAUAGGCCAUCGGUCAAUUUAUUGACCAGAAUAUUUGAUUUGAUAAAUACAUCAGUUAUAUUCGAUAUUUAAAAUAACUACUGCUUGUUUAACAGAUAACAUGACAUGGGGAGUUAACCUGUACUUUAAAAAAACGAAGCCACACGAAUGAAAGAAAUAAAAAAUAAAUCCCAUUUUUAUAUAAAAAAAUCAAUUCUAAUAAUAAUCAUUUACACCCUUUCAACUAUGUACCGUAAUAACAGCCAGCUUUGCUGUUUUGGAAUUAAUAAAAAGCAAAAUGAAAAUUGGUAAUAAUAUGGUUUUCUUGAUAAAAUGUAAAAUAAUCUUGGUAAAUAAUAAAUACUUAUACAUGUAGCUUAUUUGGAUAUUUGUUAUUAAUGUACCAAAACUUGGUUUCUUUCAAAAAUAUAAUGUAUAUUUCUCAAACGUAGUAACGAAUAAUACAUGGGGAAAAUACGUUGGACGAGUUUUCUUGUUGUUUCAUUUCAAGGGAUUUUGAGACCUAUCCUUAAUCUAAUAAAAAUAACAACCGGCAAAAUCAGCUAUAUAUCAAUAUGACGUAGAUACCUUUCAAAACGAGGCUCUCAUUCUCGAUUUUUGUGUAGGAAACAGAUCUUUAUAAUUCAAGCGAAUUCUUACCACUUAUCAACGGAUAUAGCACCAUUACUUAAACGCCACUUGAAAUCCCCAUCAUUUCAAGGCAGGUCGUUCUAUAAAAAGGUUCAACAACAGUGUUUUCAGAUAAACCUUUCAACGAUUGUUCACAGAAAUUAUGAAUCGGGCACAAGCUAAUAGUUCAAGUGAGUCUGAUGAGGACCAGAAUAAUGGUCCUAAAACUGAAGCACAACCAACAAAUAUCUAAAUCGGUAUUUUGCGACCUUCAAUUGAAGGCACGUCAUUUUCUUUUGAACAGUUGACACAAAACUAAAUGUACAAUUAAAUGUACAAUAUCAAACAAUACGAUUAUGUGUGAUUUGUGUAUAACAAAGAGGUAUACAAUGAAUAGCAAAACUUUUAUUGUGAAUAAAAUAGAGAGAAAACGGAAUCUCUAAGGAAAUCCGAAUACGCCAAAAAUUGAAAAUGUUGCCGGCUCUAUUUAAUUUAGCAUGUUCAUGAACAGAAGCAGUGAUUUCAAGCUUCUAUCCACGCCCUCUAGCAACGACUUAAGCAUUUUACAUGAACUGAGAAAAUUUUGAAAUAAGAAACAUCCACAGAUUCGUUCAUAUGGCGGUUUACAAAGAAAAACGGUAUAUGGUACUAAAAUGAAAAUACGCGUGCCCUAAAUAAAAACAAAAACACACAAAAAACAAUGAGCGAAGUUUAAAAAAAGAAUUUUGAAUGAGAUGACGCCUGCACAUCACAAAUUGUCAAAGGACUAACAACAAAGGGUCAAUAAAAAGUAUUUAAUUGGGGUAUACUAGGACCACCCGACAGAAAAAGAUAAAUUGAAAAGAACUAAAGGUACCAAAAACCUCACAACAAUUACUCAUGCUGAAUAUAUUCCAGGAUCGAAAAUAUAACAACAUUAAUCAAUGAAUACAAACAUAUAUGUUUAAUAUGUAUAAUAUAUCAAUGAAAUGAUGAAACCUAAGCCAAAUAUGAGUCCAUUGUUGAAUUUAAAAGAAUACUUGAAAGGACGCCAAAAAUUGAAUGUUACUAGAAAGAAGAUUUAUUUUUAUAUAUAACCGUCAUGUAAUUAUGUGGAAGGCUUGUUAUGAUAUCACUAUGACAUUAAACAAACAUGAUAUUUAAUCACUCAUAAAUUAUGUUAAGAUUCAUAAGUGUAAAACUCUUCUAAAGUGACUUCAAGCGUAUACCGGACUAUAUGAUUUAAUUGCCAGAAAUAAAUCCAUUAAUUAGGGAACCCACGAAUUAACGCCUAAUCGAUACCAACCACGUCAGCCAACCUUAAGCUUAAGCUUAUAAAAGCUGUAAAUGUCUCAAAAGGCAGCAUUUGCAUUCUUUGUCAUGCUUACGAAAAAUUCAUUUUGAAUUAGCAUCUGACAAUAUAACUUUAAUAUGAAUAUACCCCAAAGUUCAACAUCUAGCUGCAGUUCAAGUGAUUGUGGUGAGGGCUACGAAUGCGAGUAUAAAGAAGAGCACCAUCUCAGAAAAAGAUGUAAAUAUGAACGGCAUCAUCUUACUAUCGAUGACGAAGCCGUCUUUUGUUGGUUAAGAAUAUGCAAAUGUGGCGCUUUUCCAAACAGAAGUUAUCUUAAAAGGCGUUUUCCGUACUAUUUUUACUUUGAAGAAGAGGACGGUAAAGACCGUCGUUGUUGUGAAGGUUGUAAGUGGAGAAGAUGGCCACAAGGCAAGGUUUACAUUCUGUACACUGAAUGUAACCAUGACAUUGAUAAUCAACACUGCAAUGCAGUGUCAAGUGAUAUGAACAGAGUCGGAUUCUCGUAUGAUUGAAGGGAAAUCAACACAAGAUUUGAAUUUUUUGAUUCUCAUCAGACAGUUUAUCAAACUAUUUCGUGCAUGUUUCCGAACUUUAGUUAGUCUCUAUACUAAUAACUUAAGUGAAAAAUGUGAAAAACAUAUGAAGAUUGGAAGAAAUCACAUCAAAUUUGAAUAUACUCUAUAUAUAAUAACCUUACUAGAUAUCAGUAAAUCGUUAUUACAACCUGCUGUUGCCUGACAAAGUCGAUACAAAAAUGCAUAUUCAUUCAUCUACAGUCAUUGUAUUUCCAUAUUAUUUAUCUAAAGAUUAAUUAUAAGUUAAGAAUCGUUUUAAUUGUUUUGCAAGAUUACUUCAAAUAUGUUUUUAAAUAAAUGCCUGUUAUGUAUGGGAACAACCUAAGUGAUCGUUAACCAAAAAAUAUUUUUUUCAUUUUGUCUUUUUGUGUUCGUGUGUUUUUCUGAAAAGUCUUGUUACCCUCCGAAUAUAAAUCUUUAAAGUGUUGAAAAUUGAGUACCGCUCAGGUCGGUGCUAGGGGUCGUGAGGGCUGUUGCUCUUUUUCAUUAUACCUCAUGUACAGACCCAAUCAAAUUCAAUUUUCAUGUAAUAUUGUUAUUAUUAGUGCUUCCGAAAUUCACAUUUUAUCCAGAUAUUUGAAAUUAAAAAAAUGAUUUGAUCAAUUCUGUUCACGAGCAAAAAUAUAUACAUUGUAGAUAUAACAUUAAACUUUUUUAUCAUGAUAUAACUUGACAAAUUCAUUUGUUAAACAUGAUAAAACUUGACAAAUUCGUUCAAAGUUUAAAAGUAGAUGACGUAAAAAAACGGGUCUUAUACAGCUAUAACUUUGAGCAGACACGUUUGCACGACCAAAGACAAUGGCAGAUAUCAAUGAAGAGAGAGAAAUGUUUAAAAAUCAACCACAUUUAUUACAGUGUGAAAGUUAUAGAGACGGGAAUACAUUAGGAAUUCUUUGUUAUUGCCGUGGAAGGGGACGAAAAAUCAAUGGCAGGAUAUUACAUUCGUCAGGAGCCUGUCAUUUACGUCGUCUGGGAGAUAAUUUUACUGUUGUAUGCCAUUGUGCUUCUUCCAACCCCGUAACAAUAAGAGGUGGGGGGAGGAACACUUAGAAAAGGAGUACAACAGAUGACAGAUUUUACUCAUUGUAUAUAUCUUAAACUUAUAUUAUCAAUAUCAAUUUGUUUGAUACCCGGAGUAAAUAACCAGGUCACUUAAAGGAUGAGUAUAUAUGAGACAUUUUACGAAAUACAUUGUCAAUGAAAAUUAACAAAUUUAAGGAAUGCAGUUAAAAAUAACUAAUUGCGGCCCCGCAAUCGGGUAGCACUAUAUUUGAAGGAAAAUGAUUUGAAUGUUUGCUUUUAUUUUUUCAGAAAUUUCAAUCUGUGAUAGAUAAUAAAAUGUUGUAUUUCCAGUGUUUACCUUUAUGCUAGUGAUUAAUCAAUACUGUUAUCUACGCUUGUUUAUGGACGCUUGCCAAAAAGUCUAGUUUGCUCUAUCACGGGAUCGUCUCGUGACGGUGAUACAAUAUCCUGAAACAGAUAAUCAUUAUAUUUGUAUUUAAAUAUGUAUUUUAAUGUUUUCUAAACUAAAAGACAAUGUAAUAUUUAAAGAAAUAAAUACAAAAUAUUUUUUUUUCAAAUCAAAAUAUAUUAAAUGACUAGUAAUGCUUUAAAAUCACAUUUAUAAUACUAUGUAUGUAAUAGUGAUUUAAGCUAUAGGGUUUAACAUUUUAUUUCUUUACUUGAGAUGUAAAAGUUGUUUAUAAGCGAUUCUCGUGUUUAAACACUUCAUACUGCUUAAUAGUUUGAAUCAUGGCCGAAGCAGAAAGGCAUACAAACGAAAAUUGUUUUUAUGAAAAAAUAAAAGUCACUCUAAAUGGCAAAACAUGUUUUCGUCUUUGCCGUCGAUGUGAAUGUGGAAUUUACAAGUCAUUUGAUAGUUCUGAUCAAUCUGUUACUGAAAGUGACGGUCAUAGUGUGCAUUUUAAUGAAAAUUGUGAUUAUAGGCGAACUGAACAUCCUGGCAACAAAUUUGUUCUUACGGAAAAUUGUCUGUGCAAAACGCAUUGAAAUAUAGAAGGAUUUGUGUCAAUCGAAGGCGAGCAGACGGAAAAAACAGAUAACCGUUUUGGAGACAGAAAACAUUAUACAGACAUAAAUCAUUUAAGUGAACAAAUUUGGAUACAGAUCGUUUAUAACUUGUAGAUGUCAAGACAAAUACCACCAAACAUAAAAAAGUGAAUAAAAAAGGACGUUUGUCAAAAUGUUAAACAUUUUUACAUUAAAGUUUUGCAUUGUUUAUUAUGCAAGUGUUUUAUUUUUUCUAUAUAAUAUGAAAUAAAACAAUAUGAUUUAAAUA